rnacentral:rRNA from 1 species
UGGGCUUGACAUGUAGCGGAUCGCCGCAGAGAUGUGGUUUCCCUUGUGGUCGCUAUACAGGUGGUGCAUGGUU